CCGGAACGGGGAGGUAGUGACGAAAAAUAACGAUACGGGACUCAUCCGAGGCCCCGUAAUCGGAAUGAGAACACUUUAAAACCUUUAAACGAGGAUCAAUUGGAGGGCAAGUCUGGUGCCAGCAGCCGCGGUAAUUCCAGCUCCAAUAGCGUAUAUUAAAGUUGUUGCGGUUAAUAAGCUCGUAGUCGGAUCUGUGUCUGGACGGUGCCGGACCACCCUGGCGGUCCGUCGUGUCGCGGCCGGCCGUGUCGCGGGACCACGUGUCCCGUCGGCGCGGUCGCCGUCGCGCUCGUCAGCCGUCUCGGGGUGUUAGUUACCGGCACGUCGGCCGGACGUAUUGUCGGCAGGCGGACACGUGUCUCGUGCUUCCGGCGCGCCGCGCGGCCACGCGUCGCGCGGCCGUCGGUGUUCGACGACGGCGGCCGCCUACUCCAAUCUUGCUGCGCGGUGCUCUUCACCGAGUGCCGUCGGCGGGCCGACACGUUUACUUUGAACAAAUUAGAGUGCUCAAAGCAGGCUCGAAUCUGGCGGGGCGGCUUCACGGCCGUCUCGUCAAAAGGCCCUGAAUACUGGUCGCAUGGAAUAAUGGAACAAGACCUCGGUCCCGCGCAUCUCCGCCCUUCGCGGGCGCGCGAAAUCGCCCUCCGGGGCGUUUCCGUGCGCGGGCCGCCGGGCCGCGGGCGCCAGUCGCCCGCGCGUCCCGCCGGGCCGGUUUUCGGGACCGGAGG
rnacentral:ncRNA from 1 species